rnacentral:rRNA from 1 species
GUUGGUGGAGUGAUUUGUCUGGUUAAUUCCGUUAACGAACGAGACCUCGACCUGCUAAAUAGUUUUGCGAACUGCUUCGGCGGUUCGUCCUUAAAACUUCUUAGAGGGACUAUUGUCGCUUAGGCAAUGGAAGUUCGAGGCAAUAACAGGU